rnacentral:rRNA from 1 species
GACGAACGUUGGCGGCGUGCUUAACACAUGCAAGUCGAACGGAAAGGCCCUGCUUUUGUGGGGUGCUCGAGUGGCGAACGGGUGAGUAACACGUGAGUAACCUGCCCUUGACUUUGGGAUAACUUCAGGAAACUGGGGCUAAUACCGGAUAGGAGCUCCUGCUGCAUGGUGGGGGUUGGAGAGUUUCGGCGGUUGGGGAUGGACUCGCGGCUUAUCAGCUUGUUGGUGGGGUAGUGGCUUACCAAGGCUUUGACGGGUAGCCGGCCUGAGAGGGUGACCGGCCACAUUGGGACUGAGAUACGGCCCAGACUCCUACGGGAGGCAGCAGUGGGGAAUAUUGCACAAUGGGCGGAAGCCUGAUGCAGCAACGCCGCGUGCGGGAUGACGGCCUUCGGGUUGUAAACCGCUUUCGCCUGUGACGAAGCGUGAGUGACGGUAAUGGGUAAAGAAGCACCGGCUAACUACGUGCCAGCAGCCGCGGUGAUACGUAGGGUGCGAGCGUUGUCCGGAUUUAUUGGGCGUAAAGGGCUCGUAGGUGGUUGAUCGCGUCGGAAGUGUAAUCUUGGGGCUUAACCCUGAGCGUGCUUUCGAUACGGGUUGACUUGAGGAAGGUAGGGGAGAAUGGAAUUCCUGGUGGAGCGGUGGAAUGCGCAGAUAUCAGGAGGAACACCAGUGGCGAAGGCGGUUCUCUGGGCCUUUCCUGACGCUGAGGAGCGAAAGCGUGGGGAGCGAACAGGCUUAGAUACCCUAGUAGUCCACGCUGUAAACGGUGGGUACUUGGUGUGGGGUCCAUUCCACGGGUUCCGUGCCGUAGCUAACGCUUUAAGUACCCCGCCUGGGGAGUACGGCCGCAAGGCUAAAACUCAAAGGAAUUGACGGGGCCCCGCACAAGCGGUGGAGCAUGCGGAUUAGUUCGAUGCAACGCGUAGAACCUUACCUGGGUUUGACAUGGAUCGGGAGUGCUCAGAGAUGGGUGUGCCUCUUUUGGGGUCGGUUCACAGGUGGUGCAUGGCUGUCGUCAGCUCGUGUCGUGAGAUGUUGGGUUAAGUCCCGCAACGAGCGCAACCCUUGUUCACUGUUGCCAGCACGUUAUGGUGGGGACUCAGUGGAGACCGCCGGGGUCAACUCGGAGGAAGGUGGGGAUGACGUCAAGUCAUCAUGCCCCUUAUGUCCAGGGCUUCACGCAUGCUACAAUGGCUGGUACAGAGAGUGGCGAGCCUGUGAGGGUGAGCGAAUCUCGGAAAGCCGGUCUCAGUUCGGAUUGGGGUCUGCAACUCGACCUCAUGAAGUCGGAGUCGCUAGUAAUCGCAAAUCAGCAACGCUGCGGUGAAUACGUUCCCGGG